UACGGAGGGUGCAAGCGUUAUCCGGAUUCACUGGGUUUAAAGGGUGCGUAGGUGGGCAGGUAAGUCGGGGGGGAAAUCUCCGAGCUUAACUCGGAAACUGCCGUUGAUACUAUUUGUCUUGAAUAUUGUGGAGGUAAGCGGAAUAUGUCAUGUAGCGGUGAAAUGCUUAGAUAUGACAUAGAACACCAAUUGCGAAGGCAGCUUACUACACAACGAUUGACGCUGAGGCACGAAAGCGUGGGGAUCAAACAGG
rnacentral:rRNA from 1 species